AGUAAGAUCCCUGAGAGAUGAUCAGGUAGAUAGGUCAGGAGUGGAAGUACAGUGAUGUAUGGAGCGGACUGAUACUAAUCGAUCGAGGACUUAACCAAUU
rnacentral:rRNA from 2 species